AUAACGUUUUAUGGCUGAACUGUCACUUAACCUAAUAUUAAUCACAAGCCUCUCUUCAAUGUGAACUCCAUAGUCUUCACUGGACAUCUCCAUCAGCAGUUCAAUAGAGGUGUGUCAUCUGUCAUCUGUAGGGGCUUCACUGGAACUUGUGCAAUGCUCCAACAAAACCAGCUCGGUUGCUGUUUGAGCUGCUGAGUCAUGUGUAGUAGAACGCUGCUCUUAUCUCCAGUCAGCCAGGAGGACUUUCACAGGCAGUUGGUCUAUGUGAGUGAGGAAACAUGGAUGAUAUUGGCCUCCUGCUGCAGGAUUACCUGGUAUGGUAUAUGCUGGUAUGGAAGUGUGGUGUAUGUCCACUCCAUAGGCCAGAGGGCAGACAGAGGGAAUUCAAACAGGGGGCAUGACUCAGCAAACUGUACUCCGACUCCAAUCAACACUACCAGAGCUGAAAGGGUGCUUCCAAACCAGAGAGAUAUCAACAAAUCCCACUGACUCAGCAUAAAUGACUGCGUCUGAAAGGUCAGGAGCAUGAGAGGAUAUCAGGACAUGUCCUUAAAGUAUUCUGCAUGAACACUUAAUAGAGCAACAGAUACACAAGAGUGACUAGUCUAUUCACCCCUUUUUUAUGUGUAAGAAAAAUUCUGACCCAAAAUAUAUCAUUUCUAUGUUAUAGUGAAACUAAUCAGUCAAAACCUCCAGACUAGAAUCUAUGAUGCCAAAAUUACACAAAAUCUCUUUGAAUAUUUAAGGAGCCACAUCAAAAAAUUUUCUGGACAAUAAAUGUUUUCAAACAGCAUAAAUACAACAAAAAUUAACCAAUAUGAAGAGAUUUGUAAUAUAAUACCAUCAGUGGCUAAUGUCUAGUGUUCAAACAAAUAAUGGAUUGGAUGGUUAAGUUAUACGUAUACUUAUUUCUUCAUCUUUUUAUUAUUAUUAUUAUUAUUAUUAUUAUUAUUAUUAUUAUUAUUAUUAUUAUUAAACCAUGGCUCACUGUUGUACAAACAUUAUAGUUGGUCUUUUAGUCACAAAGUCACUAUAUACUAUAUUGUAAAAAAAAAAAAAACAACAACAUGGAUUUAAAAAAUGUGUUUGCUUCUGAAAAUGUAUGAAUUACAUUAUAUGAACUGCAUAGAAACACAGUCAUAUAUGUUAACCAUAACAUCUCAUCAGAUUCACCACAGAUUGAUGUAGUGGUUAAAACUCAUUAGUUCAAUUAAAUGAGUACCAAUUAUGUAUAGACUGAUAGAAGUGAGCAGUCCAUUGUUAUUUCAUGGAUCUUUAAGCAGCCCAUAUUUUAGAUGCUUAAACAACUUGUAAUCCAUAAUUGAUUUAGAUGCAUAAGUUUGAAGUGUUCAAGAUUGGUAAUCACAUUAAUAGUGAAAUUUAUUUAAAAUCUCAAUCUGGAGCUUCACGUUCUUUGGGAAUACAUUAUGCAGCAAGAUGUCAGAGUAAAUUAAAUUCCCUUGUGCCCAGUAAAGUGUCAAUUCCCUUAUGGUAAUCAUCUACUGGAAUGGAUGUGUCAGUAGAAGGAGUCGGGCAUGCCUGACAUUUACCCUCUUUAUGGAGAGAUGACAGGGGAAAAAAAAUCAAGUAGAGGCAGAGAAAUUAAUCUUUCGCACGAGUGAAUAUGGAAAAGCGCUAAAAGAGUGUUGAAGAAUCAGCCAUUAUAUUUGUGAUCCCAACAUGAAAAUUAAGCCAGGGAUAGCAAGAAGACCAAGAAGUAUGAGCAGGGACAUGAGAGGAUGAGAGGAAGAGAACUACACAUACACAUCUGUUGGAGAGGCAAUUGUUUUGAUGUGAAUCAUGCUGCACAAUAUUAUCAUGGCCCAAUAAUCUUUAUAUGGUUGCUUCUAACUGUUUGGCUGUUGUUGUUUUUUUGUUUUUUUUUACAAAAUGAGUUGGAAUUAUAAAUAUAUUUACAAGUGGCAUCCCCUAAACAAAGGCUUAAGAUUGGACAAAGAAUGAAUGAAAAAUAAAUUCAUAUGUUACAGGACACUAAAUAUGCAUGAAGUUAAUAAAAGAGUUGGAAUAUAUGAGAAGAUAAAACAGAUUUCACAAAAAAGAUUUCAAGUAAAUUUAAAACCUUUUCUCCAUACUGCAAACUAAAAAGAGUAUUUAAAAAAUUAAACAAAACCUGAAUAUCA